GAUGGCCAUGUCACCUUGAAACACCAGUUCUAAUCUGCUCAGCUAAGUUAACCAAUGUCAAGCUUGGUCAGUACCUAGAUGGGUGACUACUUGGGAAUACCAGAUGCUGUAA